UGAUGAAUCAGCAUCGGCUAACUCCGUGCCAGCAGCCGCGGUAAUACGGAGGAUGCAAGCGUUAUCCGGAAUUAUUGGGCGUAAAGCGUCCGUAGGUGGUUUAUCAAGUCUGCUGUCAAAGCGUGCGGCUUAACCGCAUAAGGGCAGUGGAAACUGAUGAACUAGAGUGCGAUAGGGGUAACAGGAAUUCCCAGUGUAGCGGUGAAAUGCGUAGAUAUUGGGAAGAACACCAGCGGCGAAAGCGUGUUACUGGGUCUGCACUGACACUGAGGGACGAAAGCUAGGGGAGCGAAAGGGAUUAGAUACCCCUGUAGUCCUAGCCGUAAACGAUGACAACUAGGCGUGGUUCGUAUCGACCCGAGCCGUGCCGUAGCCAACGCGUUAAGUUGUCCGCCUGGGGAGUACGCACGCAAGUGUGAAACUCAAAGGAAUUGACGGGGGCCCGCACAAGCGGUGGAGUAUGUGGUUUAAUUCGAUGCAACGCGAAGAACCUUACCAAGGCUUGACAUCCUCGGAACCCUGAUGAAAGUUAGGGGUGCCUUCGGGAGCCGAGAGACAGGUGGUGCAUGGCUGUCGUCAGCUCGUGUCGUGAGAUGUUGGGUUAAGUCCCGCAACGAGCGCAACCCACGUUUUUAGUUGCCAGCAUUCAGUUGGGCACUCUAGAGAGACUGCCGGUGACAAACCGGAGGAAGGUGUGGAUGACGUCAAGUCAGCAUGCCCCAUACGCCUUGGGCUACACACGUACUACAAUGCGUCGGACAAAGAGCAGCCAGCCAGCGAUGGUGAGCCAAUCUCAUAAACCGACGCUCAGUUCAGAUUGCAGGCUGCAACUCGCCUGCAUGAAG
rnacentral:rRNA from 1 species